rnacentral:rRNA from 1 species
CCUACGGGAGGCAGCAGUGGGGAAUAUUGGACAAUGGGCGAAAGCCUGAUCCAGCAAUUCCGCGUGUGUGAAGAAGGCCUUCGGGUUGUAAAGCACUUUAGUGGGGGAAGAAACAGCUUGGCCACACCAAGCCUUGACGGUACCCCAAGAAUAAGCACCGGCUAACUCUGUGCCAGCAGCCGCGGUAAUACAGAGGGUGCAAGCGUUAAUCGGAUUUACUGGGCGUAAAGGGUGCGUAGGUGGCUAUUUAAGUCGGAUGUGAAAGCCCGGGGCUCAACCUCGGAAUUGCAUUCGAUACUGAGUGGCUAGAGUUCGGUAGAGGGCGGCGGAAUUUCCGGUGUAGCGGUGAAAUGCGUAGAUAUCGGAAGGAACAUCAAUGGCGAAGGCAGCCGCCUGGGCCUGGACUGACACUGAGGCACGAAAGCGUGGGUAGCAAACAGGAUUAGAUACCCUGGUAGUCCACGCCGUAAACGAUGAGAACUUGACGUUGGUUCGUUUUACGAAUCGGUGUCGCAGCUAACGCGAUAAGUUCUCCGCCUGGGGAGUACGGCCGCAAGGUUGAAACUCAAAUGAAUUGACGGCUGNGAGNGCGACGCGACACGAGGGAGAGG